GGCAUAUCACCUAUGGGCGAAUGAAUUACCGGCGCGAUAUCCCCUUAAGUUGAUCCUGGCUCACGACGAACGCUGGCGGCGCGCCUAACACAUGCAAGUCGAACGAGAGAGAGGGAGCUUGCUUCCUCAAUCGAGUGGCGAACGGGUGAGUAACGCGUGAGGAACCUGCCUCAAAGAGGGGGACAACAGUUGGAAACGACUGCUAAUACCGCAUAAGCCCACAGCUCGGCAUCGAGCAGAGGGAAAAGGAGCAAUCCGCUUUGAGAUGGCCUCGCGUCCGAUUAGCUGGUUGGUGAGGUAACGGCCCACCAAGGCGACGAUCGGUAGCCGGACUGAGAGGUUGAACGGCCACAUUGGGACUGAGACACGGCCCAGACUCCUACGGGAGGCAGCAGUGGGGAAUAUUGCACAAUGGGGGAAACCCUGAUGCAGCGACGCCGCGUGGAGGAAGAAGGUCUUCGGAUUGUAAACUCCUGUUGUUGAGGAAGAUAAUGACGGUACUCAACAAGGAAGUGACGGCUAACUACGUGCCAGCAGCCGCGGUAAAACGUAGGUCACAAGCGUUGUCCGGAAUUACUGGGUGUAAAGGGAGCGCAGGCGGGAAGACAAGUUGGAAGUGAAAUCUAUGGGCUCAACCCAUAAACUGCUUUCAAAACUGUNUUUCUUGAGUAGUGCAGAGGUAGGCGGAAUUCCCGGUGUAGCGGUGGAAUGCGUAGAUAUCGGGAGGAACACAGUGGCGAAGGCGGCCUACUGGGCACCAACUGACGCUGAGGCUCGAAAGUGUGGGUAGCAAACAGGAUUAGAUACCCUGGUAGUCCACACCGUAAACGAUGAUUACUAGGUGUUGGAGGAUUGACCCCUUCAGUGCCGCAGUUAACACAAUAAGUAAUCCACCUGGGGAGUACGACCGCAAGGUUGAAACUCAAAGGAAUUGACGGGGGCCCGCACAAGCAGUGGAGUAUGUGGUUUAAUUCGACGCAACGCGAAGAACCUUACCAAGUCUUGACAUCCUGCGACGGACAUAGAAAUAUGUGUUUCCUUCGGGACGCAGAGACAGGUGGUGCAUGGUUGUCGUCAGCUCGUGUCGUGAGAUGUUGGGUUAAGUCCCGCAACGAGCGCAACCCUUACUGUCAGUUACUACGCAAGAGGACUCUGGCAGGACUGCCGUUGACAAAACGGAGGAAGGUGGGGAUGACGUCAAAUCAUCAUGCCCUUUAUGACUUGGGCUACACACGUACUACAAUGGCGUUAAACAAAGAGAAGCAAGACCGCGAGGUGGAGCAAAACUCAGAAACAACGUCCCAGUUCGGACUGCAGGCUGCAACUCGCCUGCACGAAGUCGGAAUUGCUAGUAAUCGUGGAUCAGCAUGCCACGGUGAAUACGUUCCNCGGGCCCUUGUACACACCGCCCGUNNC
rnacentral:rRNA from 1 species